rnacentral:rRNA from 1 species
UGCAGUCGAACGGUAACGGGCCUUCGGGUGCCGACGAGUGGCGAACGGGUGAGUMWUGCAUCGGAACGUACCUUUCAGUGGGGGAUAACGUAGCGAAAGUUACGCUAAUACCGCAUAUUCUGUGAGCAGGAAAGCAGGGGAUCGCAAGACCUUGCGCUGAUUGAGCGGCCGAUGUCAGAUUAGCUAGUUGGUGAGGUAAAGGCUCACCAAGGCGACGAUCUGUAGCGGGUCUGAGAGGAUGAUCCGCCACACUGGAACUGAGACACGGUCCAGACUCCUACGGGAGGCAGCAGUGGGGAAUUUUGGACAAUGGGGGCAACCCUGAUCCAGCCAUGCCGCGUGAGUGAAGAAGGCCUUCGGGUUGUAAAGCUCUUUCGGCCGGGAAGAAAUCGCAUGGGUUAAUACCCUGUGCGGAUGACGGUACCGGCAUAAGAAGCACCGGCUAACUACGUGCCAGCAGCCGCGGUAAUACGUAGGGUGCGAGCGUUAAUCGGAAUUACUGGGCGUAAAGCGUGCGCAGGCGGUUUUGUAAGACAGGCGUGAAAUCCCCGGGCUCAACCUGGGAACUGCGCUUGUGACUGCAAGGCUAGAGUACGGCAGAGGGGGGGUGGAAUUCCACGUGCAGCAGUGAAAUGCGUAGAGAUGUGGAGGAACACCAAUGGCGAAGGCAGCCCCCUGGGUCGAUACUGACGCUCAUGCACGAAAGCGUGGGUAGCAAACAGGAUUAGAUACCCUGGUAGUCCACGCCCUAAACGAUGUCAACUAGGUGUUGGGUGGGUAAAACCAUUUAGUACCGUAGCUAACGCGUGAAGUUGACCGCUGGGGAGUACGGCCGCAAGGUUAAAACUCAAAGGAAUUGACGGGGACCCGCACAACGUGGAUGAUGUGGAUUAAUUCGAUGCAACGCGAAAACUUACCUACCCUUGACAUGUCAGAAACUUGGCAGAGAUGCCUUGGUGCCCGAAAGGGAAUCUGAACACAGGUGCUGCAUGGCUGUCGUCAGCUCGUGUCGUGAGAUGUUGGGUUAAGUCCCGCAACGAGCGCAACCCUUGUCGUUAAUUGCCAUCAUUUAGUUGGGCACUUUAACGAGACUGCCGGUGACAAACCGGAGGAAGGUGGGGAUGACGUCAAGUCCUCAUGGCCCUUAUGGGUAGGGCUUCACACGUCAUACAAUGGUCGGUMCAGARGGUKGCCAAGCCGCGAGGCGGAGCCAAUCCCAGAAAGCCGAUYGUAGUCCGGAUUGCAGGCUGCAACUCGCCUGCAUGAAGUCGGAAUCGCUAGUAAUCGCGAUCAG